AGACGUCCAACUGCGUUACGGGGUGUCCGACUUAAAACAAAUCGGACAUUUUUCUCAUAAAAGUCGGACAAAAUCGGACAUUUUUUAAGAAAAAGUUGGACAAAAUCGGACUUUUUUUCAAAAAAAAUGUGGCAAAAAUCGGAUUCUUUU